rnacentral:rRNA from 1 species
GACGAAGGGGGCUAGCGUUGUUCGGAAUUACUGGGCGUAAAGCGAGUGUAGGUGGUUGUCCAAGUUGGAUGUGAAAGCCUUGAGCUCAACUCAAGAAAUGCAUUCAGGACUGGGCGGCUAGAGGACCGGAGAGGAUAGUGGAAUUCCCAGUGUAGUGGUGAAAUACGUAGAGAUUGGGAAGAACACCAGUGGCGAAGGCGGCUCACUGGCCCGAUACUGACGCUGAGGCACGAAAGCUAGGGGAGCAAACGGG